rnacentral:rRNA from 1 species
CCUACGGGUGGCAGCAGUGAGGAAUAUUGGUCAAUGGACGAGAGUCUGAACCAGCCAAGUAGCGUGAAGGAUGACUGCCCUAUGGGUUGUAAACUUCUUUUAUAUGGGAAUAAAAUGUUCCACGUGUGGGAUUUUGUAUGUACCAUAUGAAUAAGGAUCGGCUAACUCCGUGCCAGCAGCCGCGGUAAUACGGAGGAUCCGAGCGUUAUCCGGAUUUAUUGGGUUUAAAGGGAGCGUAGGCGGAUUGUUAAGUCAGUUGUGAAAGUUUGCGGCUCAACCGUAAAAUUGCAGUUGAAACUGGCAGUCUUGAGUACAGUAGAGGUGGGCGGAAUUCGUGGUGUAGCGGUGAAAUGCUUAGAUAUCACGAAGAACUCCGAUUGCGAAGGCAGUUCACUGGACUGCAACUGACACUGAGGCUCGAAAGUGUGGGUAUCAAACAGGAUUAGAUACCCGAGUAGUC